GCCCCCGGUUUCGAUUCUCUGCGGCCGCCGCCUCCGGUGACGGGAAAAGGCGGGCGGCGGCCUCAGCCCCUGCGGGGGGCCGGCCCGGCCCCGCCCGGCCCUGCCCAGGCGCACCCCGGGGUGCCGCGCCCAGGGUCAGCCGCUCUGGCGGCAGCGAGGCGGCCGCGAGGGAGGGCCGGCUUCCCGCCCGCCCUCCGCUCCCUCGGGCUGCGAGGAGCCCUGGGGCCCUGUGCCGCACCGGGCUGUGUCGGCCGGCGGCGGGGCUGUGGGAGCUGCCUCGGGGGGAAGGUGCAGGCCGCCGCACCGAUGGCGGGCAACUGCUGAAGGGAGGGCAGGGCUGGCCGCCGGGGGCGGCUGCGCGGCCCGGCCUUGCGUGCUUCACCCUGGGGUGAAGGGUCCUCUGUGGGGAGGGCAGAGCCCCUCGGAAUGAGGUGGCUCGGGGGGCGACCCGGGUACCGCUAACGGUGUGACCGCCGCCGCUCUCCUGCCAGGAGAGGACAGCUGCGGCAGCCGUCGAGGACGCAAUAUCUAAGCUUGGGCCAGGGCCCCGGGGGGUGCCUGAGGAGGAGAAAGGAGAAGGGGACGCGUACCCGGAGUCAGUUUGGGGAAGGAGAUGGAGUAACACGGUGGAGAACUGGGGGAAAGUAGAAAGCGCGCGUGAGCGCUUGAAGAAGAGCUGCAGUUGCUGCCGUGUGGAGAACGAUGGCUGACCAGCAAAGCGUAGGAGCUGCUGCUCCAGUCAGGCCUCCCGUUAUCAAGUGCUGGGAUUGCCGUAUCGGAAGGGACUCCCCGGUCUUCCAGAGCAUCAAAAUCUCCAUCUACCUCCACUGUUCAGAACCAGUUCCUCCAGUGGAAGAAUAAGAUACUCUUCUGUAGAACAAUACUUCCUAGCCCUCUUUUAAGCCCGUGUUGAUCUGAAUGACAUGUAAAGAUACAUAUGUCUUCCAAAAGCUGUCUUUUGGACAUCAUCAUAAUUGUACUUGGUCUUCUAAUCUGUGUAAAUACUUGAUGGUUUUGAAUUGUAUUUAGCUAUUGUUUGAAUUGUUCUGGGACAACACGAGACAUUGCUUCCUUUGGAGCAAGUAGCAAAUAUGGUUUCUGGCACAAUCGUGGCUCUUUCGUGAUGGGAAGGUGGUCUUCUUGCUCUCUGCUAAUUAGAUGUAUGGAAAAUUAAUAACAUUAAAUAUUGACCAUACUACUGAUUAGUACUGCAUUAAAAAAGCUACUUAAUUAGCCUUUUCUGUAAAACCAUUGGUCAAUUAACACUUAGGUUGACAUUUGAUGAUAUACAAAUCCAAACCCAAAAUUGUAUAACUAAUAACUGUUUGUUAAGAUGAUUCAGAAAGGAUGGUUUUCACCAGUCAAGAUUUUCAUACAAAUAUGAAUAUCCAAGAAAAUUGAGAAGAAUAAGGUCAGGGAUGGGAUCCAGAUAUUUUGGGCCUGAUUCUACAUUGGUCCUAUUUGACCCAUAAUUGCACGGUGACCCACAUUCUCCUUUUGAUUAUGCUUGUGUGCCCCUCUUGACUUCAGUGUGCUCUUGCUUUAUGCCAUUUCAUGUGAGAGAAGCACCAGGUUUUUUGUUUAAUUGUGACUACUUACUAUUUACUUACUGUUUAAAAAGAAAGAAGGUAAACACUGACAGCUACUAACAAUAAUCAAGCUAUACGAAACUACUUGCAUUAGUUUUCUCAGGAGGGAAGGGGUUCCCAUGGAGCAAGAAAAAGUCAGUGAAGCAGUUGGAAACAUUAAGAGAGUGGAUGAAUGCCACAGGACACCCUAAAGUUUCCUGUGUUACAGAGAUGCCUGACUGGUUCUGCAUAGUCACUGUGGAUCCAGCACAGUUUACCAGCUUUGGCUGAGUCCUGAGGCUCCCGCCACAAAGAACCGCUCAAAGUGGAUCUGCUCUGCAUUUUUUUGGUGCUUAAGAUUCAUCGUGAGCUGGAUGGCAAGUAAGUGUUGCGCAUGGAUAUUUGAGUGCAUCUGUCUAGUACCAGCUUGGAUCAAGAAAGACCUGAGCAGGAGCUUGCUGAAUCUAACACGGCUCCAUGAAGUUAAAGGUGCUGGUGUUGCACUUCUGAGUUUUCCUGGUUUUGUACUGUGGUCUGGAUAUACAGUGAAUGGAGCUGGCUUAGGUCAGUAGAGCUUAUUCUUCAUGUUCCAGAUCAUAUAAAAAUGGCUAAACCACUUCCAGAUCUGAACCAACACUGACGGCUGUUUAACCUUGUUUGUGCAGCGCUGCACCUGAACCAGUAAACUUUGUAUUAAUAACCUCAGUGCGUCCAUGGCACAAUUAAUGUGCAACUGAAAUAGCCCUCUACAGCCGGUUAGGUUGUGGCUGUGGAGUGUGGGGGACAGUGCAAGAAGGGACCUGACAUGAAUAUGAGACUGGAUCGCCUGUGCUUUGCCCACACAUCAAGGUUCCCAAACAUCCAAACAGCUGGGUUUCUUUUGCUUUUAAAACAAGUAAGCACAAAGUAUUUUCUUUGCCUCCCAAAUCAAAUUUCCUCCACUUCAUUACAGUGCCCUGAGGCAGUUCAUCAUAAUGAAUGCAUCAGGCUUUUAGAGGAAGAAGAGUGAAAUAUUUCCGAUAAAUAUAUUUCAAGAUUCAGAAGUACUUGUAAAUAGUUUCUUCAGCAGUGUUUCGCCAAUGGAGAAUUUGCGAUGUUAUGACAUAGUGUGAAGAUUUUACUGCUGUCUGUCUAGAAUAACAUUUGUAAUUUAAUCAGUUUUUACUGCUCUGCAGUAAAACAAUAAAUAAUGAGUCCUCUGGAA